AGCUUCUUUAUUUUUGCCCGGUCCCCCCUCCCUCGCGCAGCCUACUUGCUGAAUUUCUACAUUUUGGGGGACAAAAACUUUCGGUUAAUUGAUUGAAAUAUGUCAAUCUCAUGUCAUCUUGAUCGCUAGAUUUUGGCAAAAUUUUAAAUUUUGGACAGCUACCCCCCAGACAGCUCCAUUUCAAACAAUUACGUGCAAAAAUAAUGAGACUUUUCACAUUUUUGGC